AACGAACGCUGGCGGCAGGCUUAACACAUGCAAGCCGAACGCCCCGCAAGGGGGAGUGGCAGACGGGUGAGUAACGCGUGGGAAUCUACCGUGCCCUGCGGAAUAGCUCCGGGAAACUGGAAUUAAUACCGCAUACGCCCUACGGGGGAAAGAUUUAUCGGGGUACGAUGAGCCCGCGUUGGAUUAGCUAGUUGGUGGGG
rnacentral:rRNA from 1 species